UGGAGGAUGUGAACUCUCCUGGGAUGAUGAGCAUUGUCUGGGAAAGCACACUGUCGUCACCUGCCUCCCCCAUCCCGGUCCCCACCACUCUCUGACUGAUGCCAUCGCCUAGAUGAUAAAGCGCCCGUCACUCAAGCACAGAAGUCGAAAUUCAUAGUUCAUUUCUUUACUUAUGUAAGAUCAUUCACUGACAAAAGAACUCAAAUGGAAAGGCUUUGGGCAUAUGCAGAAACGGGGAGAAAAAAAUAAUCUCUCCGAGUCAGAAGCCUCGGGGGAGCAUAGCAAGACUUAUCAAAGUUACAGUGCUCCAUUUGGAAAGCGCCAACCGCCAGCCCUCGGGCGAGGUGCAGUGGUGCAUAAUUAAUGUAGUCCCAGACACAGGUCACUGAAGUGCCCCACAGGUGUGUGCCUGGUUUUCAAUAAGGCCUUUCCCUCGGAACUCCUCUUCCGACUUUGAGUUUGUGCUCCCGGAAGCCUUGCACGAUCGGGAGAAUUCAGAAGAACGAUCUGAAUGCCCAUCAAUAGAAAAUGGCAAGAAAUUACGGCAGAUCUAGUCUCUGGAAUCCUAGGUAUUUGGGGAAAAGAAGCAAGCUGGGUCCCAAAACACUGAUAUAGAAAAGUGGCUGUAGUUUUUGUUGUUGGUGUUGUUUUGUUUUUGCUUUUCAUCAGGAAGGCAAAUAGAAAAAGGUUCACAAUAUUCCAUUUUUUGCAAGACUUCCAUUUUUCAAGUAAGUCUUUGUCCUGAAGGUCACACCAAUGCCCUCAUUAUAUAUGCCCUUCCUGCAAUAUGUGGCUUUUCUGGGUUUCCUGAGCAGGCUGCAGUUUGAGUUUGAACCCUGGGCCUACAGGUGCACAGAUGCUAUCAGCAUUGAUUUGUCCCUCUCGAGACUUUCCAGAUUUGGAGACGUGCCACGCAGUGGAGCGUGAUGACUGUCCAAGAGCUGUUAAGGAGCUACCUCGUGCCCCCGACCACAACCCCCUGCGCGCGCCCCCUGGCGGGGAAGAGGCUUGGCCCCCAUGGGAUAUCAGAAGCAGGAGAACCCUAAGAAAGCGCCCCUCCCUCUGUGCUUGAGGAGACUACUCCGAAGUGGGAUUUCUUCCCGCAAACUUUUCCAGAAGAAUCCGGCGUGAGAAGUAGACACACCUGCUGAAACCGGCCAGCACAGCUACGCAUCCCAUCACUUCAUUGUUUCUGGAUUAACUUCCGGUUGUUUUGUUUUAUUUAACUUUCUCCUUCACCAGCCUUGCUUGCUUUUCCCAAAUAAAGUGGACCCCGA
rnacentral:lncRNA from 1 species